rnacentral:tRNA from 3 species
GGCCGAGUGGCGAAAUUGGCAGACGCACGGGACUUAAAAUCCCGGGGAGGUUUAACCCUCCGUGCGGGUUCGAUACCCGCCUCGGCCA